AUUUUAUUUAAACGGCAUAGGGUCCAAAACUAUGUCCCUAUAUUAUGUUCAGUGGGUACCCCUUUGGCCCCAAUAACUGCCCAUAAGGAAACCCACUGGAUACUAGAAAUGGUCUAACAAACGGGUUUUGUAAGAUUUAUUUUAUUACAAUUAAAUCACUGAGCUAAUUUUACGAUUGGAAUUCAGGACACAAACUUUGUUGCCAUAAACAUAUUUAAGAUUCUAAUAUGAGGGGGGGAGAGGGGAGGUUACGGAGCAACAAGUCUCAUUUCUAAAUUAAGCUAAAUAACAGAGCUACUAGUUAAGUGUGUUAACCCUCUAUAGGUCGACGGCACAGAAAAGUACAAGAGUUAGGAUGCCUUUGGUUUGAUUAAUAAAGGUUGAGGUUUACCGCUUUCUUGUGAAAUUAAAUGUGGUCACGUUGCAAGGGUAUUAAGCACAAGACAUUGAUUAUAAAUAAAAUUCCAAC